rnacentral:rRNA from 1 species
ACCUACGGGGGGCAGCAGUGGGGGAUAUUGCACAAUGGGGGGAACCCUAAUGCAGCGACGCCGCGUGGGUGAAGAAGCGCCUCGGCGCGUAAAGCCCUGUCAGCAGGGAAGAAAAUGACGGUACCUGAAGAAGAAGCCCCGGCUAACUACGUGCCAGCAGCCGCGGUAAUACGUAGGGGGCAAGCGUUAUCCGGAUUUACUGGGUGUAAAGGGGGCGCAGACGGCGAUGCAAGCCAGGAGUGAAAGCCCGGGGCCCAACCCCGGGACUGCUCUUGGAACUGCGGGGCUGGAGGGCAGGAGGGGCA